UUCUCCUAUGGGGCUUCUUCCAGAUUCAACGAGGGACGAACCUUUGAGACACCCUCUCCUCUUCGGUAUCAAGAGGAAGAGUUUUGUGUUCACCAAAACAGUACUUGGAUCUCGUUCAUUCUGGAGAAAUUUCAGAUUAGGGUUUAUCUGUUUGGGAGAUUGGCAAUUUAUCCUUGCUCCGACUGUUGAUUUACAGAAGCAACGUUUCCAAUCAGAUUUGGACAAGUUGUAGAGGACUCUGAUUCGAGACCGUAUCUCGACGGGUAUCUUGAUUCCCGGAUUGGACCAUUUUAUCGGAGA